ACGCGGAGGAAGGUAAAAGCGUGUUCGUUAUUACGUUAUUGUGCGUAAUAUUGCAAACGAGCCAAAUUCAAGCGGAGCGAGAUGACUCAAGCCUCAAGGCUUCGUUCACUUUGGUUUGCUUCGUUCGGUCGACGUUGGCCCGGUUUAUCUCUGGCCAAUUCCGAAAUAAUCUUAGAUUCGGUCUCUCCUACUCUUACUUCGCUGUCUAUCGUUUAAGGCUACGUUGCCUGUUUCUCGUCUUCUUCAGCGUCGUUCGUCCGCAUUCACGCGACCGACUUUGACGUAAUAAAUAAUAUUUCCAUUACGGAAUUUCAAAUUGGCGUUUCUUUGUCUCCGCGGGACUCUAACUUUAUUUUUAACACCGAAACAUUCACGACGAGGCAACCGAACGCUGGUGAAAAAUACACAAUGAAAGAGCGAGGUAUCCGCGUACCGAGAACUGUUCGUUUUAAGUAACACCGACUCAAGGUAAAUUACACAGUAUUCGCAUAAAAGUAUGCUAAAACAAGUUACAUUUUAGAAAACGUUGAUUCCGUUAAACAAUCUAACGUCUUAUAGCAAAUUAUUAUUGUUAGGUGAUCCCAGUUUUACGAUAAACGAUAUAAAAAUUUUGUAAUUUUAACGCACCUUCUUACGGUACAGAUUUGCACGGUGUAUUUUUUCAAUUUAAGUCGAAUUGCAAUUUAGGAAGUUGCUGAAAGUUUGAUAUGUUAUAAAACCCGAUAUUAAAAAAAAAAAAGAAAAAAAAAGAAAAAAAAAACUCAUAAAUAAUAAUUCAUAAAAAUCUGAAACAGAACGCGACAACAGUCAGCAUUGUUGCAGCAAUCAUUUUGCGAGUAUUACGAAUGCAUGUGUUGAUAUACUUAUUGAUUUAUUAUGGACGUAUGCGAGAUCAGUACGACUGUACUUUUACUAAAGUUCCUAAUUAUACAGGGUGGGUGAAUACCUAUUAGCACGUCAGGUGUCUUCGAAACUACAAGUUUCACAGAAAUAUUUGGUGAAAUAAAAUUGCACAGUACGAAGGGGAUCAUCCUGGUGGCGAUAGUAGUUUUUUAGCAGGUGGAGGAGCUCUUUCCCUUGUGCGGGGGCCAACCGUGCCCCAGCGGCGCCACGAUGCCGUCGUUUCCAUUGGACGCAAAAGUAACCGUCUGACUUCCUAUCGCGCGCGACGUAUAUUAUUUAUUUAUCAGCCAUUAUUCUUGGACGUUUCUCAAGUAACACGGUCCUCUUCUGUUACAAUAGAAGACCUUAAAAUAAAUGUAGGCAAAGAUAAAGUCAAGAAUGCAAAACAACAGGAAGAACGUUCGAAGAAUAAAUGAACAUCGCGAGCAUAGUCAGCCGGAAAACGUAAGACCAAGCUCUACAUGCAAUGGAGUUUAACGACACAAUAGUCUGCGCAACGAUACUCAACGACGCAAAAGAAUAAGCAACGAUAGGCGACACAGGCUGGAAUAACGAGGAAAAGACGAAACAUUUGAUCGAAAAGCGCGACUCGAAUGCUCUAUUGGAACAAUGUGGUUCGAGGAAUGGGAAUGGUCAGCGUUGAACGGUAGAAACGGUAGAAACGCUUGUGGAAGAAUCGGGAGAACCGUAUCGCCAGCAUCGCGAUCAAGCGGCGAGACCAAAUCAGCGAUGAGUCUCGGCUAAAUGGAAAGCUUCGUAUUGUUUUGAAAGAGGUAAAGGUUCGUAAUGGCUGUAAGGUUUGCUAUGGCCGUAAUAAACCUCAGGCGAGGAAAGCUCAUACUAUUACGAUACAUGCCCUAACAAACUGAGAAUCCAUCUCGGGGGAUUGUUUUGUAAAAUAUCAUACAAAAACCAAAUACAAAGUGAAAUAUUUAACAGA